CAGCCGCCGCGGUAAUACGUAGGGUGCAAGCGUUAAUCGGAAUUACUGGGCGUAAAGCGUGCGCAGGCGGUUCGCUAAGACAGAUGUGAAAUCCCCGGGCUUAACCUGGGAACUGCAUUUGUGACUGGCGGGCUAGAGUAUGGCAGAGGGGGGUAGAAUUCCACGUGUAGCAGUGAAAUGCGUAGAGAUGUGGAGGAAUACCGAUGGCGAAGGCAGCCCCCUGGGCCAAUACUGACGCUCAUGCACGAAAGCGUGGGGAGCAAACAGGAUUAGAUACCCGCGUAGUCCCUGUCUCUUAUAC
rnacentral:rRNA from 1 species